CUCAGUUCACCUGGUCCGGCUGGCUUCUGUACACAACCUCCCCUGGCUCCAACCCUUUUGAACCAUGGUGAUGUAAGACAGUACACUUCAAGGUAUUCAGUCCCCCAAAACUCUUCACAUGGGCUCUGGGCUUCAGCUGAGGGCUUCUCAGCAUGGCUGGGCUGGAGAGGAACCAGAGGCUGGACAGUUUAAAAACCUGAGUGGAGCACCGAUGCCAUCUAGUGGUGUCCAAGUAAGCCAUGACAACGAGCCAGCAUCCGCAACCACCACUAGCCACCACCGAAGCUGAACCAGUUGAGAUGCAAUUCCACCAUCACUGACCUUUGCUUUUCCUACUGCGACAUGUUAAAGUGUCCUCUGUGCAAAGUUCCUGAUGAGAGAGUAUCACUUAUUUAUCUUUCCUCCAACAAUAUUAAGUGAAAAGCACCUGGCAGAGUUUCUGGAUCUUACCGCUGCCGUUGCUCUGUCGUUGAUGUCUUAAAAAUAAAGCAGUGGGCGGCUUCUUGAUGUCAGCUCUCAUUAC